rnacentral:rRNA from 1 species
GACGUAGGGCGCGAGCGUUGUCCGGAUUUAUUGGGCGUAAAGAGCUCGUAGGCGGCUUGUUACGUCGAAUGUGAAAUUUCAGGGCUCAACUCUGACAUUGCAUUCGAUACGGGCAGGCUAGAGUUCGGUAGGGGAGACUGGAAUUCCUGGUGUAGCGGUGAAAUGCGCAGAUAUCAGGAGGAACACCAGUGGCGAAGGCAGGCUCGUGG